rnacentral:tRNA from 1 species
ACCUUCGUGGUGUAAUGGUCAGCACACUCGGCGCGUAUUCGAGAGGUCCGUGGUUCGAAUCUUAGCGAGGGCA